rnacentral:rRNA from 1 species
AGUCGAACGGCACCCACCCUCGGGUGGARGCGAKUGGCGAACGGCUGARUAACACGUGGAGAACCCGCCCCCUCCUCCGGGAUAGCCUCGGGAAACCGUGGGUAAUACCGGAUGACCCCGCAGGGCCGCAUGGCCCCGCGGGCAAAGCCCAGACGGGAGGGGAUGGCUCCGCGGCCCAUCAGGUAGACGGCGGGGUGACGGCCCACCGUGCCGACGACGGGUASCCGGGUUGAGAGACCGACCGGCCAGAUUGGGACUGAGACACGGSCCAGACUCCUACGGGAGGCAKCAGUGGGGAAUCUUGCGCAAUGGGGGGAACCCUGACGCAGCGACGCCGCGUGCGGGACGAAGGCCCUCGGGUCGUAUACCGCUUUCAGCAGGGAUGAGACAAGACGGUACCUGCAGAAGAAGCCCCGGCUAACUACGUGCCAGCAGCCGCGGUAAUACGUAGGGGGCGAGCGUUAUCCGGAUUCAUUGGGCGUAAAGCGCGCGUAKGCGGCCCGGCAGGCASGGGGUCAAAUGGCGGGGCUCAACCCCGUCCCGCCCCCUGAACCGCCGGGCUCGGGUCCGGUAGGGGAGGGUGGAACACCCGGUGUAGCGGUGGAAUGCGCAGAUAUCGGGUGGAACACCGGUGGCGAAGGCGGCCCACUGGGCCGAGACCGACGCUGAGGCGCGAAAGCUGGGGGAGCGAACAGGAUUAGAUACCCUGGUAGUCCCAGCCGUAAACGAUGGACGCUAGGUGUGGGGGGACGAUCCCUCCGUGCCGCAGCCAACGCAUUA